rnacentral:rRNA from 1 species
GCUAAUACUUGACGGGUAACGCCCUCAGUCGAGUGUGUUCCUCCGGGAGCAUAAUCUACUGAGGAGGGGAGGAUCCUUAUGGUCCUUUCAAUAUAUUACCACUUCUUUGUGAAUAAGGGUGGAUUAUAUGCCAAGAGAAUUGUAGAAAUCGAAAGAUUUUCACAAGUCAUCAUUAAGAAUAUCUGACCUAUCAACUGGUUGUUGGUAAGGUAGUGGCUUACCAAGGUGAUAACGGGUAACGAGGAAUAAGGGUUCGACAUCGGAGAGGGAGCUUUAGAAAUGGCUACCACUUCUAAGGAAGGCAGCAGGCGCGAAAAUUACCCAAUCUUAACAACUGAAGGAGGUAGUGACGACAAUUAACGCUUUCCCUCGCAUUUUGUGAGGAUUGCCGGAAUGAUCACGACAUAAACCAUCGUGAGAAAGCGAUUGGAGGGCAAGUCUGGUGCCAGCAGCCGCGGUAAUUCCAGCUCCAAUAGUGUAUUGUAAAGUUGUUGUGAUUAAAACGCUCGUAGUUGAAUGUAAUCAAUCGAGACAUGAUUUACGUUCUCUGGCGUGUGAGCUUGCUCAUUGUCAGUAGAGCCGCAAUCAAUGAAUGUCUCACUAUAAGCGGGAGUUUGAUUCAGUUCCAAACUCUUUUACUUUGAUUAAAUCAAGGUGCUUAAAGCAAAAUCUUCUGUUAAUGAAUGAUGAAGCAUGGUAUAAAAUGAAAAACAGAACAGAAAUCAAUAUUGAAUUAUGGGGAUGGUUCGCCAUUCGAAUAUUUCAGUUUUUUGUUUUGUUUAAAACAAGAUUAAGAGAAAUGAUUAGGGUGAUUUAGAUAGGAACGGGAGAGGUGGAAUUCCAUGAUCGUUUCGAGAUAAACGAGAGCGAAAGCAUUUCACUGAAUUCAUUUCAUUAAUCAAGAACGAAAGUCAGGGAAUCAAAGACGAUUAGAUACCGUCGUAGUCCUGACCAUAAACGAUGUCAACUAAGGAUUGGAUAAGAAAUUUCUGAAGUAUGGGAUUCUACUAUCCAAUGACGACAGUCAGCGGAUUCUGAUUCUCGCUUCAAUUCUUCCCUUAUUCAGGACUUGAUGAGAAAUCAUUAAGUGAAUGGACUUCAGGGGGAGUAUGGUCACAAGGCUGAAACUUAAAGGAAUUGACGGAAGGGCACACCAGGAGUGGAGCCUGCGGCUUAAUUUGACUCAACACGGGAAAACUUACCAAGACCGAACGGUGUAAGGAAUGACAGGUUACUGGGUCUUUCAUGAUUCAUCGGGGAGU